AACCCAUUGUUACAUUAUUAGACGGAAAGACCCCAAGAGCUUUUUUUGUGUUAGAUUUGUUUGGGGUAAAUGUAGAUUAUUCAUUUAUUUUUAGAUCCUUCAUGGAUAAAGGAUAAAGUUACCUUGGGGAUAACUGAGUAAAGGGCAGGGAGAGGUCCUAUCGAUCUGUUUAUUACUACCUCAAUGUUGGCUUGUUGAACCUUUUCGGUGUAGAGGCUGGAAAAGGAAGUCUGUUCGACUUUUAAAUCUUUAUGAGUUGAGUUAAGACCGGUGUAAGCCAGGUUGGUUCUUAUCUAUAAUUGGUUCUAGUUAGUACGAAAGGAUUAUUAGGAUACAGUGUUUCUGUACACAUAGGAAUAGAAAGUAUACA
rnacentral:rRNA from 1 species